GACGAACGCUGGCGGCGUGCCUAAUACAUGCAAGUUGAGCGAUGAAGAUUGGUGCUUGCACCAAUUUGAAGAGCAGCGAACGGGUGAGUAACGCGUGGGGAAUCUGCCUUUGAGCGGGGGACAACAUUUGGAAACGAAUGCUAAUAUCGCAUAACAACUUUAAACAUAAGUUUUAAGUUUGAAAGAUGCAAUUGCAUCACUCAAAGAUGAUCCCGCGUUGUAUUAGCUAGUUGGUGAGGUAAAGGCUCACCAAGGCGAUGAUACAUAGCCGACCUGAGAGGGUGAUCGGCCACAUUGGGACUGAGACACGGCCCAAACUCCUACGGGAGGCAGCAGUAGGGAAUCUUCGGCAAUGGACGAAAGUCUGACCGAGCAACGCCGCGUGAGUGAAGAAGGUUUUCGGAUCGUAAAACUCUGUUGGUAGAGAAGAACGUUGGUGAGAGUGGAAAGCUCAUCAAGUGACGGUAACUACCCAGAAAGGGACGGCUAACUACGUG
rnacentral:rRNA from 1 species